GUGUCAGCAGCCGCGGUAAUACGUAGGGACCGAGCGUUGUCCGGAUUUAUUGGGCGUAAAGAGCGCGUAGGCGGCUAUCCACGUCGGAUGUGAAAGCUCAGGGCUCAACCCUGAGAGGCCAUUCGAUACGGGAUAGCUAGAGGCAGCUAGGGGAAAGUGGAAUUCCUGGUGUAGCGGUGAAAUGCGCAGAUAUCAGGAGGAACACCGGUGGCGAAGGCGGCUUUCUGGGGCUGUCCUGACGCUGAGGCGCGAAAGCUGGGGGAGCGAACAGGAUUAGAUACCCGUGUAGUCC
rnacentral:rRNA from 1 species